GGGCCUAUAGCUCAAUGGUAGAGCGCCACGCUUAUAACGUGGUGGUUCCAGGUUCGAUCCCUGGUAGGCCCA
rnacentral:tRNA from 1 species